rnacentral:rRNA from 1 species
UACGAAGGGUGCAAGCGUUACUCGGAAUUACUGGGCGUAAAGCGUGCGUAGGUGGUUCGUUAAGUCUGAUGUGAAAGCCCUGGGCUCAACCUGGGAAUGGCAUUGGAUACUGGCGGACUGGAGUGCGGUAGAGGAUGGCGGAAUUCCCGGUGUAGCAGUGAAAUGCGUAGAGAUCGGGAGGAAGUCCGGUGGCGAAGGCG